GCACUGAAGAUGGCAGCUGCUGUGAGAAGGUUGUUUCGAGCAUCCGUUGCCCAACAUGUGAGUGCCAUUCCUUGGGGCAUUUCCGCCACUGCAGCCCUCAGGCCCGAUGCAUCUGGAAGAAUGAGCUUGACAAACAUAUUGUGCUCUGGUUCCCAUCAAGCAAAAUUCUUCAGCACCAGUUCCUCAUACCAUGCACCUGCUGUCACCCAGCAUGCGUCCUAUUUUAAGGGUACAGCCGUUGUCAAUGGAGAGCUCAAAGACCUAAGCCUUGAUGACUUGGAGGAAAUAUUUGGUGCUUUUCUUCUAUCCUUUGGAUUUCACCUUUGUGUGUCCUACAGACAUUGUUGCUUUUAGUGACAAAGCUAAGGAAUUUCACAAUGUGAACUGAGAAGUUGUUGCAGUCUCAGUGGAUUCCCACUUUAGCCAUGUUGCCUGGAUAAAUACACCAGGAAAAAUGAUGGUUUGGGCCACAUGAACAUCACACUCUUGUCAGAUUUAACUAAGCAAAUUUUCUGAGACUACGGUGUGCUGUUAGAAGGUCCUGGUCUUACACUAAGAGGUCUCUUCUUAAUUGACCCCAGUGGAGUCAUCAAGCACUUAAGUGUCAAUAAUCUCCGAGUGGGCCGAAGCGUGAAAGAAACCCUCUGCUUGGUGAAGGCACUCCAGUAUGUAGAAACCUAUGUAGAAGUCUGCCCAGCAAACUGGACACUGAAUUCUCCUGCAAUCAAGCCAAAUCCAGCUGCUUCCAGAGUAUUUUUAGAAGGUAAAUCAGUAGAUCACCCAUGUGUAUCUGCACCUUUUCAUCCCAAAGAAGAACCAGAGUUGAAAUCUGCUUUUAUCAUUUUAGAGAUGGUUAUUUGUAGAAGGCAAGGAACCAAUUAUGCUUGUAUUCAUAAAUACUACUCUAAAUGUUUUGUUUUGUAAUACUGGCUAAGACCUUUUAAACGUGGUUAGCUGCUAGUAUAAGGAAUGCUUUAUUGGUAACAUCUUGGUGGCUAGCUAGCUAGUUUCUAUAGAACAUAAUUUGCCUCUAUGGAAGGCGAUUCUUAGAUCAUGUCUUCAAUGGAAACACUCUUCUGUCUUAGCCUUACUUGAAUCUUACUUAUAACAAAGCAGA